rnacentral:rRNA from 1 species
CGGCUUAGAGUUUGAUCCUGGCUCAGAAUGAACGCUGGCGGCGUGCUUAACACAUGCAAGUCGAGCGUGAAAGUCCUUCGGGAUGAGUAAAGCGGCGGACGGGUGAGUAACGCGUGAGAAUCUGCCCUACAGUGAAGAAUACCUUCGAGAAAUCGAAGUUAAUACUGCAUACGUCCCUACGGGGAGAAAGGUGGCUUUAUGCUAUCGCUGAAGGAUGAGCUUGCGUACUAUUAGCUAGUUGGUGGGGUAAUGGCCUACCAAGGCAGUGAUGGUUAACCGGCCUGAGAGGGUGUACGGUCACAUUGGAUCUGAGACACGGUCCAGACUCCUACGGGAGGCAGCAGUGAGGAAUAUUGCACAAUGGGCGAAAGCCUGAUGCAGCGACGCCGCGUGGAGGAUGAAGGUCUUCGGAUUGUAAACUUCUGUUAAGUGGGAAGAAAAAAGCAUUCUUAAGGU